CGACGUGGGUAACCUGCCUCAUACAGGGGGAUAGCAGCUGGAAACGGCUGAUAAAACCGCAUAAGCGCACAGCAUCGCAUGAUGCAGUGUGAAAAACUCCGGUGGUAUGAGAUGGACCCGCGUCUGAUUAGCUGGUUGGUGAGGUAACGGCCCACCAAGGCGACGAUCAGUAGCCGGCCUGAGAGGGUGACCGGCCACAUUGGGACUGAGACACGGUCCAA
rnacentral:rRNA from 1 species